UACGUAGGCAGCGAGCGUUGUUCGGAGUUACUGGGCGUAAAGGGUGUGUAGGCGGUCCUCUAAGUUUGGUGUGAAAUCUCCCGGCUCAACCGGGAGGGUGCGCCGAAACUGGGGGGCUAGAGUGCGGGAUGGGUAAGUGGAAUUCCGUGGUGUAGCGGUGAAAUGCGUAGAUAUCAGGAGGAACACCGAUGGCGAAGGCAGGUCUCUGGGCAUUAACUGACGCUGAGGAGCGGAAAGCAUGGGGAGCGAACAGG
rnacentral:rRNA from 1 species